UUAAAGAAACAAAAUAAAAUAACACAUAUGACACUAGAGUAGACAUAAUUUUUUUAUUAGAAUAAAUCAACAUUCAGUAUAUUGUAUGUGGAUUACAGACGUUCAUCUUUCUUCAGGGAUUUCUUUUACUGAUCUGUUCUAUCGAUGUUAUUUGACUCUGUCAUUUGGCAUUUCGGAUAUAAGCAUACUCCGCUUUAUUGCAUAAUUUUGUCUGACAAAUAGGCUAUGCAAAUAACCGGA
rnacentral:lncRNA from 1 species